GGUGGAUGCCUUGGCACCAGGAGCCGAUGAAAGACGUAGGAGGCUGCGAUAAGCCUCGGGGAGCUGUC
rnacentral:rRNA from 1 species